GCUAGCGGUGCGCUUACACAUGCAAGUCGUGCGAUCGGACCGAACGGAUUUCCCUUCGGGGUCUGAAGAUCGGUUACGGAGCGGCGAACUGGUGAGUAACACGUAGCUAACCUACCUUCUUGACGGGGACAACCAUCUGAAAGGAUGGCUAAUACCCGAUGUUGUACGGGGUUGAUGACUUCGUACCAAAGGCGGUCUUGCCGCCGCAAGGGGAUGGGGCUGCGCCCUAUUAGCUUGUUGGUAGGGUAAUGGCCUACCAAGGCUGUAAUGGGUAGCUGGUCUGAGAGGACGACCAGCCACAUUGGGACUGAGAUACGGCCCAGACUCCUACGGGAGGCAGCAGUGAGGAAUCUUGGACAAUGGGCGAAAGCCCGAUCCAGCGACACCGCGUGGGGGAUGAAGGCUUUCGGGUCGUAAACCCCUUUUCUGGGGAAAGAAUAAGGUUGGGAGGAAAUGCCCAUCCGAUGACGGUACUCCAGGAAUAAGCAUCGGCAAACUUCGUGCCAGCAGCCGCGGUAAGACGAAGGAUGCGAGCGUUAUCCGGAAUUACUGGGCGUAAAGGGCGUCUAGGCGGUCGGAUAAGUCAUUUGUGAAAUCCCAGGGCUCAACCCUGGAAGGUCUUGUGAUACUGUCUGGCUUGGGUGUAGGA
rnacentral:rRNA from 1 species